UGCAAGUCGUACGCACUGGCCCAACUGAUUGAUGGUGCUUGCACCUGAUUGACGAUGGAUCACCAGUGAGUGGCGGACGGGUGAGUAACACGUAGGUAACCUGCCCCGGAGCGGGGGAUAACAUUUGGAAACAGAUGCUAAUACCGCAUAACAACAAAAGCCACAUGGCUUUUGUUUGAAAGAUGGCUUUGGCUAUCACUCUGGGAUGGACCUGCGGUGCAUUAGCUAGUUGGUAAGGUAACGGCUUACCAAGGCGAUGAUGCAUAGCCGAGUUGAGAGACUGAUCGGCCACAAUGGAACUGAGACACGGUCCAUACUCCUACGGGAGGCAGCAGUAGGGAAUCUUCCACAAUGGGCGCAAGCCUGAUGGAGCAACACCGCGUGAGUGAAGAAGGGUUUCGGCUCGUAAAGCUCUGUUGUUGGAGAAGAACGUGCGUGAGAGUAACUGUUCACGCAGUGACGGUAUCCAACCAGAAAGUCACGGCUAACUACGUGCCAGCAGCCGCGGUAAUACGUAGGUGGCAAGCGUUAUCCGGAUUUAUUGGGCGUAAAGCGAGCGCAGGCGGUUGCUUAGGUCUGAUGUGAAAGCCUUCGGCUUAACCGAAGAAGUGCAUCGGAAACCGGGCGACUUGAGUGCAGAAGAGGACAGUGGAACUCCAUGUGUAGCGGUGGAAUGCGUAGAUAUAUGGAAGAACACCAGUGGCGAAGGCGGCUGUCUGGUCUGCAACUGACGCUGAGGCUCGAAAGCAUGGGUAGCGAACAGGAUUAGAUACCCUGGUAGUCCAUGCCGUAAACGAUGAGUGCUAGGUGUUGGAGGGUUUCCGCCCUUCAGUGCCGGAGCUAACGCAUUAAGCACUCCGCCUGGGGAGUACGACCGCAAGGUUGAAACUCAAAGGAAUUGACGGGGGCCCGCACAAGCGGUGGAGCAUGUGGUUUAAUUCGAAGCUACGCGAAGAACCUUACCAGGUCUUGACAUCUUGCGCUAACCUUAGAGAUAAGGCGUUCCCUUCGGGGACGCAAUGACAGGUGGUGCAUGGUCGUCGUCAGCUCGUGUCGUGAGAUGUUGGGUUAAGUCCCGCAACGAGCGCAACCCUUGUUACUAGUUGCCAGCAUUAAGUUGGGCACUCUAGUGAGACUGCCGGUGACAAACCGGAGGAAGGUGGGGACGACGUCAGAUCAUCAUGCCCCUUAUGACCUGGGCUACACACGUGCUACAAUGGACGGUACAACGAGUUGCAAGCUCGCGAGAGUAAGCUAAUCUCUUAAAGCCGUUCUCAGUUCGGACUGUAGGCUGCAACUCGCCUACACGAAGUCGGAAUCGCUAGUAAUCGCGGAUCAGCAUGCCGCGGUGAAUACGUUCCCGGGCCUUGUACACACCGCCCGUCACACCAUGGGAGUUUGUAACGCCCAAAGUCGGUGGCCUAACCUUUAUGGAGGAGCCGCCUAAGCGAC
rnacentral:rRNA from 2 species